CGUGAGUUCCCUCUGUGUAAAGUCCGUGUUUCUUAGUCUGUGUCUUUGUGAAUUGUUUCCUGUUUUAUUUUGAAGGGUUAUGUCUGAUGUCAGUGUUUCUAGCUUCACUCCCCCUGUCUCGUUAGGUCUCAUUCCUCCCAGCUGUGUUCCCCUUCUGUCUCUAAUUCCUUGAUGACUUCCUCAGUGUAUUUAAGCCCCGUGUUUCUUUGUGUCAGUGUUGUGUCGUACCCUCAGAUUGUGCCUAUUUGUUUCCAUUCUCAGCGUUCAUUAUUCAGUUCAUGUUUUGUUUAUCACCAGCAAUAAAGCUGUGGUUUUCAGUUGCAAUUCAGUCUCCAUGAGUCCUGCAUUUGGAUCCUCACCUCCGCCUGCCCACACACAGAGCCCUGAUAGAUUGACGCGACCAGCAUGGAUCCAGCAGACUCACGUUUUGCCUCAGAGAGGGAGUAUCUUGCGCAGCUGUGGGAUUAUUGCCGGCGCAUAAUUCACACUGCGGAUCACUACAAGAGGCUUCCAGAGGUGCUCCUCCGUGGUUGGUGCAUCCAGGGUGGAUGGCUCGCACCGAUUGGCUGACGACCGGGAGGCAGCGGAUAAGAAGAGACCACCAGGGACUGCCAUUCAUUCAUCCUCGGCCCAACCCAACCGGCAGACCGUUCACUGUGUCACUGUUACUAUGUUGGUUAAUGUAAGAGCAUGUAGGGGUGGACCGCCUUUUUGUUUGAUCAGUUUUCUCCUGUUUCUGUUAGGCAGGGAGGAAAGUGAUUGUCGUUUGGUUUAGUUCUUUUGAGUAGGUAAGUUGUGUUUCUUCCUGAGAUAGGCUAUCUUUUGUUUGUUGUUUUGGCCUUGGGUUCACCCUGAAGUUAUGAUAUGCUCCCUUCCUUUGUUUAACUGCACUCAUUGUAAAUAAAUCACUGUCACAAAA